rnacentral:rRNA from 1 species
AGUGAACGCUGGCGGUAGGCCUAACACAUGCAAGUCGAACGGCAGCACAGUAAGAGCUUGCUCUUACGGGUGGCGAGUGGCGGACGGGUGAGGAAUACAUCGGAAUCUACUUUUUCGUGGGGGAUAACGUAGGGAAACUUACGCUAAUACCGCAUACGACCUACGGGUGAAAGCAGGGGAUCUUCGGACCUUGCGCGAUUGAAUGAGCCGAUGUCGGAUUAGCUAGUUGGCGGGGUAAAGGCCCACCAAGGCGACGAUCCGUAGCUGGUCUGAGAGGAUGAACAGCCACACUGGAACUGAGGCACGGUCCAGACUCCUACGGGAGGCAGCAGUGGGGAAUAUUGGACAAUGGGCGCAAGCCUGAUCCAGCCAUACCGCGUGGGUGAAGAAGGCCUUCGGGUUGUAAAGCCCUUUUGUUGGGAAAGAAAAGCAGCAGGUUAAUACCCCGCUGUUCUGACGGUACCCAAAGAAUAAGCACCGGCUAACUUCGUG